rnacentral:rRNA from 1 species
AUUGAACGCUGGCGGCAGGCCUAACACAUGCAAGUCGAGCGAGCGGCGGACGGGUGAGUAAUGUCUGGGAAACUGCCUGAUGGAGGGGGAUAACUACUGGAAACGGUAGCUAAUACCGCAUACCAUCAGAUGUGCCCAGAUGGGAUUAGCUAGUAGGUGGGGUAAUGGCUCACCUAGGCGCCGAUCCCUAGCUGGUCUGAGAGGAUGGCCAGCACAAACGGAAAUGGGACAAGGUUCAGACGCCGACGGGGGGGAGCAGGGGGGAAUAUUUCAAAAUGGGGGGAAGGCUGAGUCAGGCAAGCCGGGGGGAGGAAAGAGGCCCUCGGGUUGUAAAGCACUUUCAGCGAGGAGGCGUUACUCGCAGAAGAAGCACCGGCUAACUCCGUGCCAGCAGCCGCGGUAAUUC